UUUUUAUUGGCCUCUAUAUUUUACUGUUUUACAGCAGCUAGCCUGAUCUGAUGUGAACUGAGGAUCUUGAUGACAACUGAGAUUGCAGAUAAGAAUACAAAGUGCGUACUUAAAAGUUUGAUCACCUUGAUGGAGACUUGGCACACUCAUAGUAACUACAGAAGUUCUGAGAGGCACAUCCAAAGGUGGUUUCAGUCUGAACAGAUUCAGAUCCUUGAAGUUUCAGAAAUGCAGGUUGCGUCCUCUCCUGGAUAAUCCUACAGCAGUUGGCAUCUCUGUUUUUUUUUAAAAAAAUAAUAUUAGCGUUGGUUUUCAUUUGGCCAAGGAAAGUUAACAUGGUACAAUAUCAGCAAAAAUUUUCUAUACAUGUACUGACACUGUAGAUUAGAUCUUAAUCAUACCACUGCCAUGUGUAUAGGCGUGAUGAGUGAUGACCGGUGACCGAUGAGUUGGAGUUGUUAGGGUAGGCCUAACUCGAGGUACCUCAAUUGUUGUUGCCUGUUGUGCUGGUAUUGGCUGCUGUUUGGGUCCCAGAAAAUCUCCAAACAAGGCAAGCCAAACCUCAUAUAUAUGACACCAUCUACAGAAGAAAACACUAUUUAGGUUCCAUUUAAAAUUAGGAUAUUUCAUAGUAAUUAGAAAAUAUAUAGCUUAAUUUCUGCUGCUGCUGAGCAGCAACAACAAUAGAGCUUGUAUUUGAAAAAACGGUACUUAAUGGUUUUUUUUAGUUCGACUAAAUGCUGGAGUACUUAGGUGAGUGAUACCGUCGUCACGAUCCAUUGUCCCUAACAUAGCUGUCAUUUUGUCUUGAUUUCUCUCCUGAUUAUGCAAUUGCCAU